UUUUGAUACACUGGUAUAAUUAGAGUUCUGCUGGUAAACAAAUGGGGAUAUCAAACCAAAUGACCAUUGCUGCUGAUAGACCAGUAGCAGUUGUCCAUGUAUGGAAAACUAAACUUUGUUGGUCAUUUCAACCUUGUCAUUAAACCAAACUUUAUCAUUAAAAUUAACUUUUUUACCCUGAUUGUAAAACAGCCCAUCAAAGAAAAAAAAAAAAAAUAGUGAAACGUUAGAAUCUUUACCAAAUUUCAUCAUUUAUUGUAUACCAAGAAAGCCAUCUCAUCUGCCAAAAACAUUUGCUAAAAUCCAGUCAUGACUGAU